GAUGAACGCUGGCGGCGUGCCUAAUACAUGCAAGUCGAGCGAACGGACGAGAAGCUUGCUUCUCUGGUGUUAGCGGCGGACGGGUGAGUAACACGUGGAUAACCUACCUAUAAGACUGGGAUAACUUCGGGAAACCGGCGCUAAUACCGGAUAAUAUUUUGAACCGCAUGGUUCAAAAGUGAAAGACGGUCUUGCUGUCACUUAUAGAUGGAUCCGCGCUGCAUUAGCUAGUUGGUAAGGUAACGGCUUACCAAGGCAACGAUGCAUAGCCGACCUGAGAGGGUGAUCGGCCACACGGGAACUGAGACACGGUCCAGACUCCUACGGGAGGCAGCAGUAGGGAAUCUUCCGCAAUGGGCGAAAGCCUGACGGAGCAACGCCGCGUGAGUGAUGAAGGUCUUCGGAUCGUAAAACUCUGUUAUUAGGGAAGAACAUAUGUGUAAGUAACUGUGCACAUCUUGACGGUACCUAAUCAGAAAGCCACGGCUAACUACGUG
rnacentral:rRNA from 1 species